CAGCCGCCGCGGGAAUACGUAGGGUGCGAGCGUUGUCCGGAAUUACUGGGCGUAAAGAGCUCGUAGGCGGUUUGUCGCGUCGUCUGUGAAAUUCUGCAGCUUAACUGUAGGCGUGCAGGCGAUACGGGCAGACUUGAGUACUACAGGGGAGACUGGAAUUCCUGGUGUAGCGGUGAAAUGCGCAGAUAUCAGGAGGAACACCGGUGGCGAAGGCGGGUCUCUGGGUAGUAACUGACGCUGAGGAGCGAAAGCGUGGGUAGCGAACAGGAUUAGAUACCCGCGUAGUCCCUGUCUCUUAUAC
rnacentral:rRNA from 1 species